rnacentral:rRNA from 1 species
AGUCGAACGGCAGCGCGGGAGCAAUCCUGGCGGCGAGUGGCGAACGGGUGAGUAAUACAUCGGAACGUGCCCAAUCGUGGGGGAUAACGCAGCGAAAGCUGUGCUAAUACCGCAUACGAUCUACGGAUGAAAGCAGGGGAUCGCAAGACCUUGCGCGAAUGGAGCGGCCGAUGGCAGAUUAGGUAGUUGGUGAGGUAAAGGCUCACCAAGCCUUCGAUCUGUAGCUGGUCUGAGAGGACGACCAGCCACACUGGGACUGAGACACGGCCCAGACUCCUACGGGAGGCAGCAGUGGGGAAUUUUGGACAAUGGGCGAAAGCCUGAUCCAGCCAUGCCGCGUGCAGGAUGAAGGCCUUCGGGUUGUAAACUGCUUUUGUACGGAACGAAACGGUCUUUUCUAAUACAGAAGGCUAAUGACGGUACCGUAAGAAUAAGCACCGGCU